rnacentral:rRNA from 1 species
CCCUUAGAUGUUCUGGGCCGCACGCGCGCUACACUGACGAUGGCAACGAGUUUUUCCUUCGCCGAAAGGUGUGGGUAAUCUUUUGAAACAUCGUCGUGCUGGGGAUAGAUCAUUGCAAUUUUUGAUCUUGAACGAGGAAUUCCUAGUAAGCGCGAGUCAUCAGCUCGCGUUGAUUACGUCCCUGCCCUUUGUACACACCGCCCGUCGCUACUACCGAUUGAAUGGUUUAGUGAGAUCUCCGGAUUGGCACCAUCGAGGCUUCACGGCCUUGACGGAAAGUCGAAAAGUUGCUCAAACUUGAUCAUUUAGAGGAAGUAAAAGUCGUAACA